rnacentral:rRNA from 1 species
UACGAAGGGGGCUAGCGUUGCUCGGAAUGACUGGGCGUAAAGGGCGCGUAGGCGGUUUGGUCAGUUAGACGUGAAAUUCCUGGGCUCAACCUGGGGACUGCGUUUAAUACGGCCGAGCUUGAGUAUGGAAGAGGGUCGUGGAAUUCCCAGUGUAGAGGUGAAAUUCGUAGAUAUUGGGAAGAACACCGGUGGCGAAGGCGGCGACCUGGUCCAUUACUGACGCUGAGGCGCGAAAGCGUGGGGAGCAAACAGG